UAUCUGUCUGCUGUCCAGGCAGGUCUGUCUGCUCUCCUAGACCAGGGCUAAGCACGCGGCAUCCAGGCCACAGGGUGCUGUGUGUGACAUAGACGCCAGGGAGGGAGGAGAACCUUGGUGAGUCGAAUCACGGACCCUCCUCCAAGAACCCUGGUUGCUUGCUCCACAGGUGCGCCUCCUGGGAGUGGUGUCCAAGGGCCAGCCCACGCUGGUGGUGAUGGAGCUGAUGGCUCAUGGAGACCUGAAGAGCUACCUCCGUUCUCUGCGGCCAGAGGCUGAGAAUAAUCCUGGCCGCCCUCCGCCUACCCUGCAAGAGAUGAUUCAGAUGGCGGCAGAGAUUGCUGACGGGAUGGCCUACCUGAACGCCAAGAAGUUUGUGCAUCGGGACCUGGCAGCGAGAAACUGCAUGGUCGCCCAUGAUUUUACUGUCAAAAUUGGAGACUUUGGAAUGACCAGAGACAUCUAUGAAACGGAUUACUACCGGAAAGGGGGUAAGGGUCUGCUCCCUGUACGGUGGAUGGCGCCGGAGUCCCUGAAGGAUGGGGUCUUUACCACUUCUUCUGACAUGUG
rnacentral:sRNA from 1 species